GACGAACGCUGGCGGCAUGCUUAACACAUGCAAGUCGAACGCUAAACCCUGGUGCUUGUACUUCGUGUAUGAGUGGCGAACGUGUCAGUAAAACGUGAGUAACCUGCCGUGGACUCUGAGAUAAGCCUGGCUGACUGUGUCUAAUACUGGAUGCGACAUGUCGCCGCAUGGGCCUGUGGGGGAGGGGGUUUACUGGUGUUGGAUUGGCUCGCGGCCUAUCUGCUUGUUGGUGGGGUAGUGGCUCAUCAGGGCGACGACGGGUAGCCGCCCUGAGAGGGUGACCGGCCACACUGGGACUGAGACAAGGCCGAGAAGCCUACGGGAGGCAGCAGUGGGGAAUAUUGCACAAUGGGCGGAAGCAGGAUGAAGCGACGCCGCGUGAGGGAUGACGGCCUUCGGGUUGUAGUCAUCUUUUAGCACGGAAGAAGAGACAGUGACGGUACGUGGAGAAGAAGCGCCGGCUAACUACGUG
rnacentral:rRNA from 1 species